UACGUAGGGUGCAAGCGUUAAUCGGAAUUACUGGGCGUAAAGCGUGCGCAGGCGGUUAUGUAAGUCAGGUGUGAAAUCCCCGGGCUUAACCUGGGAACUGCAUUUGUGACUGCAUCGCUGGAGUGCGGCAGAGGGGGAUGGAAUUCCGCGUGUAGCAGUGAAAUGCGUAGAUAUGCGGAGGAACACCGAUGGCGAAGGCAAUCCCCUGGGCCGGCACUGACGCUCAUGCACGAAAGCGUGGGGAGCAAACAGG
rnacentral:rRNA from 1 species